rnacentral:misc_RNA from 1 species
GAUGAAGAACGUAGCAAAAUGCGAUAAGUAAUGUGAAUUGCAGAAUUCAGUGAAUCAUCGAAUCUUUGAACGCACAUUGCGCCCGCCAGUAUUCUGGCGGGCAUGCCUGUUCGAGCGUCAUUUCAACCCUCAAGCACAGCUUGGUGUUGGGACUCGCGUUAAUUCGCGUUCCCCAAAUUGAUUGGCGGUCACGUCGAGCUUCCAUAGCGUAGUAGUAAAACCCUCGUUACUGUUAAUCGUCGCGGCCACGCCGUUAAACCCCAACUUCUGAAUGUUGACCUCGGAUCAGGUAGGAAUACCCGCUGAACUUAAGCAUAUCAAUAAGCGGAGGA